CUUGAAUUUAAAUCUCAAUAAAAAUUAAUUAGAUAAAAAAAUAACAUUUAUUUAAAAUAUAGAAAAUAUACUUAAUAAUUGAAGAGAGGUCAUAGUAUUUCAUGAACACAAAUCUUAGCCUAAUUCAUCUAUGAGGAAAGUUUCAAUUGGGCUUGAAAACUCAAGGCCGAACAUAGCUUUUUAAAUGGAGGACGUCAGGCCAGCCUUUAGGGCUGUGAAUAGGCGUCGCCUGAUAUUAUUUCAAUCCGUUGAUUACAACAUUACAACCCUGCGAACACUUGGUGCAUGUGGUGUUGAUUACUGGUAUUUGUCUACUGCAACUGGGUUUGUCGAUCACUUGUUCCUUAGGGACGCUGACCGUGACAGCUCCAUUAGCAAAACAAGCCUUCGUUUCUAAAGGCUUGGUGUUUUCAGGCAACCUAAAUCGUUUCAUGAAUUCGCCGCUGUAGCUCACCACAUGCCAUUUUUCUUCUUUCUUUAUGCACCUUUUGCCGCUUAUUCUCAGCACGGUACCUUCAUCAACAUACACCGUCACUUCUUCUUGCUUUAACCCUGGAAGUUCCAGCUUGUACACCCAUGCAUUUGGUGUCUCCUUUAUCUCCACUUUAGCAUUGAUGAACGUAGUCGUUUCAGUGGGGACACUUUGCAGUGAUGAACCUGGAGAAAUGCUGAUCUGACAAUCGUUGCAUCUUGAACCCAUCUUUGUAAUUAUGUGAGAUCGAUCGGACUCUAGAUAAUGAUCAAAUUUACCUUGGAUAUGUUGUUGAUGAAAAUUGAGAAAUAACAUUGGUAUUUAUAGAAAAGAUUAACAUGAAGGAAAG
rnacentral:misc_RNA from 1 species